rnacentral:misc_RNA from 1 species
GGUGUAUAUGGUGACAAACUAUGAAAGGUAGAGUUGUGGAGUUGAUAGAA